GACGAACGCUGGCGGCGUGCUUAACACAUGCAAGUCGAACGGAAAGGCCUUUUCGGAGGUACUCGAGUGGCGAACGGGUGAGUAACACGUGGGUGAUCUGCCCUGCACUCUGGGAUAAGCCUGGGAAACUGGGUCUAAUACCGGAUAGGACCGCACUUUAGUGUGUGUGGUGGAAAGUUUUUUCGGUGUAGGAUGAGCCCGCGGCCUAUCAGCUUGUUGGUGGGGUAAUGGCCUACCAAGGCGGCGACGGGUAGCCGGACUGAGAGGUUGGUCGGCCACAUUGGGACUGAGAUACGGCCCAGACUCCUACGGGAGGCAGCAGUGGGGAAUAUUGCACAAUGGGCGCAAGCCUGAUGCAGCGAAGCCGCGUGGGGGAUGACGGCCUUCGGGUUGUAAACUCCUUUCGCCAGGGACGAAGCGUUUUGUGACGGUACCUGGAGAAGAAGCACCGGCUAACUACGUG
rnacentral:rRNA from 1 species